CAACAGCAUCAUCAAAACUUCUCCGAAAUCUACGAAUUCCUUCGGAAGCUGGGAAAAGGUUUGGCAGCUGAUCGAUAUGGUACGAAACGGUACUAAAAGGUGUGACACAGCUGGUGAUCAACACACCGAAUUUCAUUCCCAGUAGCGGGCGGAAAAUGGUUAUGAGAGCUCGAUCGUGGAUCGGAUCGAUAGUAACUAACAAAUAAAAGCUUAGGGAGCUCCAAACUACCGGGUCUUCAACAUAGAAGUUAGCAAAAUGAUUCGAGGAACAACGACGAACUGGAUGGGUAUUCAAGUGUCCAAAAGGAUCGAGUCGUGCUCCGGCAAUCGACGAUGUGAAAUUGGCAAAUCCUCGAUGGAAGGUGAACUUCUGUGAGAUUCAACGGAUGGGGAUCGUCUGUCUUUCCUAUCACGCCAACUAGCGACGAAGCCGGAGACGGUUGAAGGUUUCCUAUUACGCCAACAGGAACGUAGUCAGAGACGGUUUUAGAGGCAGCCUCUUUUGAAGUUCCUUCUUGUGUACCUGUUGAGCCCAUACAUCCAUUUUGAUAACGAUGUGAUACGAAGCGAAGCUUGUAAAUUAUUUGU